rnacentral:rRNA from 1 species
CCUACGGGAGGCAGCAGUGGGGAAUAUUGCACAAUGGGGGAAACCCUGAUGCAGCGACGCCGCGUGAGUGAAGAAGUCUUUCGGUAUGUAAGGCUCUAUCAGCAGGAACGAGACAAGACGGUACCUGACUAGAAAGCCCCGGCUAACUACGUCCCAGCAGCCGCGGUAAUACGGAGGGGGCAAGCGUUAUCCGGAAUCACGGGGUGUAAGGGGAGCGUAGACGGCUGAGCAGGCCUGAGGUGAAAGGCGGGGGCCCAACCCCCGGACUGCAUUGGGAACUGUACGGCUGGAGUGCAGGAGAGGUAAGUGGAAUUCCUGGUGUAGCGGUGAAAUGCGUAGAUAUUAGGAGGAACACCAGUGGCGAAGGCGGCUUACUGGACUGUAACUGACGUUGAGGCUCGAAAGCGUGGGGAGCAAACAGGAUUAGAUACCCGGGUAGUC